CGGCUGCCAUGUCCCGGGUCCCGAACUACAUUACCCAUCAACCCCCACUUGACAGACAGCUUACUUGACCAAUCAGCAUUGAGAAUUCCCCCAAGGGGCGGGAACAGCGGUGCGGAUCAACCAAUGAGCGCGCGGGGCGGGCGGCGGCGCGGCGGGGGAAGAUGGCGGCGGCGGCGGCGGGCCGGUGGCGGACCGGGCUGGCCCUGCUGGCCGUGGCGCUGGGGCUCGGCGGGACGGGAGCCGAGCAGACCGAGGAGCACCUCAAACGCGAGCACUCGCUGUCCAAACCGUACCAGGGUGUGGGCUCGGCCAGCUCGGGGCUCUGGGACCUGCUCGGUAACGCCAUGGUCAUGACGCAGUUCAUCCGCCUCACCCCCGACGUGCAGAGCAAGCACGGAGCCGUGUGGAACCGAGUGCCCUGUUACCUGCGGGACUGGGAGAUGCAGGUGCACUUCAAGAUCCACGGGCAAGGCAAGAAGAACCUGAACGGGGACGGUUUCGCCAUCUGGUACACCAAGGACAGGAUGCAGCCAGGACCCGUUUUCGGCAGCAAGGACAAUUUCCUGGGGCUGGGAGUGUUUGUGGACACCUACCCCAACGAGGAGAAGCAGCAGGAGGCUCAGAAGAGGAGGUACAGCCCUGGAAACCAGCGCGUGUUCCCCUACAUCUCGGCCAUGGUCAACAACGGCUCGCUGACCUACGACCACGACCGCGACGGGCGGCCCACGGAGCUGGGCGGCUGCACGGCCAUGGUGCGCAACCUCAACCACGACACCUUCCUGGUCAUCCGCUACGUCAAGAGGAGGCUGACGGUUCUGAUCGACAUUGACGGCAAACACGAGUGGCGGGAUUGCAUCGACGUUCCGGGCGUGCGCCUGCCCCGCGGGUACUACUUCGGGACCUCGUCCGUCACCGGGGACCUCUCAGACAACCACGACAUCAUCUCGCUGAAGCUGUACCAGCUGACGGUGGAGCGGACGCCGGAGGAGGAAAAGCGGGAUCGGGAAGUUUUCCUGCCCGUGGUGGAUAACCUGAGGCUCCCGGGGAUGGAGGCACCGCUGGAGCCCAUGAGCGGCCUGGCCCUGUUCCUCAUCGUCUUCUUCUCCCUGGUGGCCCUCGUCUUCGCCAUCGUCAUCGGCAUCAUCGUCUACAACAAGUGGCAGGAGCAGAGCCGCAAACACUUCUACUGAAUCCCGGGAUUCCGGCGGAACCCCCGGAAUUCCGGCAGGGAGAGACUUCCCGGUGUUUUCCUGGCGGCGCUCGGCCGGGAACGGCCGGAGUUUUUCCGUUUGGAGUUUUCCCGGCGGGAGGAGCCGCGGGAGCCGCUCCCCGAUCCCCCAGCAUGUGGCUGCUCCUGCAUGUGGCGGCUCCCAGAUUCCCAAGAGAUUCCCGGGAGAUUCCUGGGAGAUUCCUGAGAGAUUCCCAAGCAAUUCCUGGGAGAUUCCUGAGAAAUUCGUGGGAGAUUCCCGGGAGAUUCCCUGGAGAUUUCUGAGAGAUUCCCAAGAGAUUCCCAAGAGAUUCCUGAGAAAUUCCCAAGAGAUUCCCAGGAGCUUCUCAGGAGCUUCCCAAGAGAUUCCCAAGAGAUUCCCAGAAGAUUCCCAGGAUCUUCCCAGGAGAUUCCCAGGAGAUUCCCAGGAGAUUCCCAAGAGAUUCCCAGAAGAUUCCCAGGAUCUUCCCAGGAGAUUCCCAGGAGAUUCCCAGGAGAUUCCCAGGAGAUUCCCAAGAGAUUCCCGGGAUAUUCUCAGGAUCUUCCCAAGAGAUUCCCAGGAGAUUCCCGGGAUCUUCCGGAUCCGCUCCCCAUCCUACCUCAGGGACUGCCGGGCACGGCGAUUGCUCCGGCCGCUGCUUCGCCCCUCCAGGGCUCUCCGGGGCCGGCCGAGCCGAGCCCCGCGGCUUUCCAGAACAUUCUGGAAUGUUCUCCCCGGGAGAGGAGGGGGCUGGGUGGUCCCUGGGCCGGGGGAGGAGCGCGGGAGCUGCUCCCGGGGGGUUCCCAGGGAGGCUUUUCCCGCCGGAUUCGCCUCUCGUUCCGUGCCGGAUCCGCGGGAUCCGAUGGUUUGUGCCUCUCCCCGGAGCCGGUGUUUGGAAUAAACGCUGAGGGCCGCGCGUGAUGUCCUCGGCACCGCCAGGG